UCGGUUUGGAAGAUUGCCGCUGGCGGCGGAUGAGAAGGGUAAGAUAUACGCCAAAAUCCAUGACAUGCCACUCAGCCGGCUGCGGUCGCUCAUUCCCUCCUUUCUGGAUGAUGCCGCGGUGGCUGCUUCACUGAGAGAGGAGUUUCUGAAAAAAAGGAAAGCUGUUCCGAUGAUGAAAUUCAACCCGGAUGGUGAAAGUACAAUGCGACGGCGAAUUGAAAGGCUGAAAAGGACGGACCAUGUGUCGGUAGGCUUUCGAAA